CCCACCCCAAAUUCACAUGUUGAAGCCCUAACCUCCAAUGUGAUGGUAUUUGGAGAUGGGGCCUUUGGAAGGUAAUUAAGGCUAGAUAGGGUCACAAGGUUGGUCCCCUUAUGAUGGCAUUUGUGUUCUUAUACAAAGAGACAGGAGACUCUCUCCAUCAUGUGAAGAUACAGCAAAACAGCAGCUGUCUGCAAGCCAGGAAGGGAACCCUCACCAGGAACCAAACCAUGAUCUCGGACGUCCCAGCCUCUAGGAACGUCACUUGCUCUGGGGAAAGCCACCUGCCAUGCCGUGAGGACAUUCAAACUGCCUAUGGAGAGGUCCACAUAGUGAAAAACUAAGGCCCCUGCCAAAACCCAUGUGAGCCAUCUUGGAAACAGAUCCUUCAGCCCUAGGCAAGCCCUUAGAUAAUGUAGUGCCAGCCAACAUCUUGACAGCAGCCUGCAAGAGACUCUGAGUUAGAAACAACCAGCGAAGCCAUUCCUGAAUUCCUAAUCCUCAGAAUCAGCAUGAUAAUAGUAAAUGCUUAUUAUCAGAUACCAUCAGCAUAAUGUCAUCAAUGCAGUGGACCAGUGUGACAUGGGGAACAUAAAGAUGGUCACGAUUUUUGCAGACUCCAUAUGCAAAGUAUUAUAGGCCUUUCCAUCUAUCCGGAGUGACCUACCAGAGACAGGACAGUUUGACCAGCAAGCUUCUGAUCACUCUUCAACACCCAGCAAGAAGUCUUAUCCUCCAUGCAGCCUUCUAAGACCUCUCUAAGCACAGGUAUCAGAUCCUCCUCUGGAUCACUCUGUCUUGUUACUGCAUUUAUCUCACUGGAUUUCAGUGACGUGUGUAGACAACUAAUUUGUGCCUGCCUGAUCUGUGAGCUCUUCAUUCAAAGCAGUUGGCUCCUGAGUACAGGAUAAACCCCUAGAAUUGAAUAAAUUUGGUCUUACCUCA
rnacentral:lncRNA from 1 species